AGGGAGAAUCCUGUCUUUGAGAUAUGUUAUCAGUGGGUCGAUCUAGCUGGGCUCGUGGUCAAUUUCCAUCAUGGGCCGUGAUUCUUCCGUACUCGAGCACUUGAGCACUUCAAAGAGAACACCUUUGGGUAAUUCGGCCAGAGCCAGCAUUGCCAACUUGGAGAGAAGGUCGGCCCUGGUAUUUUCAAACCUCGAAAUCUGCCUGAUGUCAAAGCUGCUGAAGGCGGAGGCGAGCUCC
rnacentral:lncRNA from 1 species